AGGGGAAACCAUGCCUCAUGCGAGAGACGACUGGAUGCCUUGGCAUUUACAGGCCUCUCUUCUGUGGUGGAAGGUAAAUAUCCUAAGAAAAACAAACCUUGGCUGCAGCUGUCUUCAGGGAUCUGUGUACUUUCAAGAUAAGAAAACCUAAUUUCCAGAGGGUAUGCCUUACCACAGCAGGCCUCCACGUGGCUUACACAAAUAAUGCAAAAAUCUCCAACAACCCCUACCAAGAACUUACUCCUGGUGC